UCCUGGCAUGUGCGCGAGUGGGAACGCUCAGUAUGAACGAGUGCAAGGUAGACGUGGAGAAUGCCAAAUGAAUGGCACCAUGUUGGAGGAAUGGUGGCCACAAGCACAGAGAACGAGAUCACCCAGAUACUGCUCAUUCCUGCUCCGCCGUUGUGCACUUGGGCUAUGUUGUCUAUCUUUGACGUGCAGCAGUCUGUGCAUACAUGAGGAGAUGAGCCACAUUCCACCCUGCAGCCCUCCACCAUAAGAGUGUGUAUCUGAGUGGUCUUGGCAGGAUGCUGAGAUAGAUGGACAUCAGUAAUUCUGGAAACCCAUCUAGCAAGAAGUCUACAUUGAAGAAAAGAGAUGAUGAUGAAUGGACCAGUUACACCAAGUCAAGGCAUUUCCUUUUGGGUCGUUCACAACAGCAGGACUGAAGUGCAUGUAUGGUGAGAUCCGGAGACCAGACCGCGACCCUGAAUGCUGGGUGGAGCUGCUUUUAUGUUGACAUUUCUGCAGGACCAGGUGUGGGAAAAUGAGCAGCCCGGCAGGUGCCUGUAUUCAAAACUGUUGUUUGAGAGGGAAUCCUUAAAGAACUGGAGACAGCAGGAAAGUAAUUAAACAUGAUUUCACAGCUUAAUUUUGUUUACAAAGAACUCUUUUAGCUCGUCAUGCUGUUGGAGAGAAUGAAAGGCUAGUUGUGUUGCCUACUGGCUCUUUAGUCACAAUGAGCAGGCAGUGAUGAGGGGAUUUUUUUUUUUUAAAUUAGUUUUCUAAUUUUGACACUAAAUGAUUGCAAAUGGUGGACUUGAAAACAGAAGGAGCGUGAUCACACUUACCAGCAAUCAUGAGUUCAAAAGCAACCAAACUCUUUGGUGUUUGAAAAAUGGACCUUUUCUCAGAUGUUGUGAAAUCCCCAUGAUUG